rnacentral:lncRNA from 1 species
GGAGAUCCAGGUGCCGACCUUCCACCGGAGCCUGCCGUCGAUCUUGAUAUAGAUGAGGAUGAAGCCGGCGGACUCCUCCUGGCCGGCGGCGACGGCGAGGUAGGGAGCGAGGGGGACGGCGUUGCCGAAGAGGUAGGGGGACCAGACGUUGUAGUCGUUGUGGCCCUGGUAACCGGGUGGGAGGGCCGUGGCGGCGGUGAUCUGCUGGCCCUUGUAGUCGGCGUAGACGUCU